GGCCACUUGGCGCAAUGGUAGCGCGUUGGGCUUCGAACCCAAAGGCUGCAGGUUCGAGCCCUGCAGUGGUCA
rnacentral:tRNA from 1 species